GUGCUCACUUUGGCAGCACCUAUACUAAAAUUGAAAUGAUACAGACAUUAGCAUGAACCCUGUUCAAGGAUGACACUAUUAAUAAAUUAAAAAUUAAAACAUUAA